ACAGAAAUCAAGUCCCCAGUUGGCAUUAGGUGAGUACAGAAAUCAAGUCCCCAGUUGGCAUUAGGCGAGUACAGAAAUCAAGUCCCCAGUUGGUAUUAGGUGAUUACAGAAAUCAAGUCCCCAGUCGGCAUUGGGUGAGUGCAGAUAUCAAGUCCCCAGUCGGCAUUGGGUGAGUGUGAGUACAGAAAUCAAGUCCCCAGUUGGCACUGGGUGAGUACAGAAAUCAAGUCCCCAGUUGGCACUGGGUGAGUACAGAAAUCAAGUCCCCAGUUGGCAUUAGGUGAGUACAGAAAUCAAGUCCCCAGUUGGCAUUGGGUGAGUACAGAAAUCAAGUCCCCAGUUGGCAUUGGGUGAGUACAGAAAUCAAGUCCCCAGUUGGCAUUGGGUGAGUACAGAAAUCAAGUCCCCAGUCGGCAUUGGGUGAGUACAGAAAUCAAGUCCCCAGUCGGCAUUGGGUGGGUACAGAAAUCAAGUCCCCAGUUGGCAUUGGGUGAGUACAGAAAUCAAGUCCCCAGUUGGCAUUAGGUGAGUACAGAAAUCAAGUCCACAGUUGGCAUUGGGUGAGUACAGAAAUCAAGUCCCCAGUUGGUAUUAGGUGAUUACAGAAAUCAAGUCCCCAGUCGGCAUUGGGUGAGUGCAGAUAUCAAGUCCCCAGUCGGCAUUGGGUGAGUACAGAAAUCAAGUCCCCAGUCGGCAUUGGGUGGGUACAGAAAUCAAGUCCCCAGUUGGCAUUGGGUGAGUACAGAAAUCAAGUCCCCAGUCGGCAUUGGGUGAGUACAGAAAUCAAGUCCCCAGUCGGCAUUGGGUGGGUACAGAAAUCAAGUCCCCAGUUGGCAUUGGGUGAGUACAGAAAUCAAGUCCCCAGUUGGCAUUAGGUGAGUACAGAAAUCAAGUCCACAGUUGGCAUUAGGUGAGUACAGAAGUCAAGUCCCCAGUUGGUAUUAGGUGAUUACAGAAAUCAAGUCCCCAGUCGGCAUUGGGUGAGUGCAGAUAUCAAGUCCCCAGUCGGCAUUGGGUGAGUGCAGAUAUCAAGUCCACAGUUAGCAUUAGGUGAGUACAGAAAUCAAGUCCACAGUCGGCAUUGGGGAAGUGCAGAUAUCAAGUCCCCAGUUGGCAUUAGGUGAGUACAGAAAUCAAGUCCCCAGUCGGCAUUGGGGAAGUGCAGAUAUCAAGUCCACAGUUAGCAUUAGGUGAGUACAGAAAUCAAGUCCCCAGUCGGCAUUGGCUGAGUGCAGAUAUCAAGUCCCCAGUCGGCAUUGGGUGAGUACAGAAAUCAAGUCCCCAGUCGGCAUUGGGUGGGAACGGAAAUCAAGUCCCCAGUCGGCAUUGGGUUAGUACAAAAAUCAAGUCCCCUGUCGGCAUUGGGUGAGUACAGAAAUCAAAUCCCCAGUUGGCAUUGGGUGAGUACAGAAAUCAAGUCCCCAGUCGGCAUUGGGUGAGUACAGAAAUCAAGUCCCCAGUUGGCAUUAGGUGAGUACAGAAAUCAAGUCCCCAGUUGGCAUUGGGUGAGUACAGAAAUCAAGUCCCCAGUCGGCAUUGGGUGAGUACAGAAAUCAAGUCCCCAGUCGGCAUUGGGUGGGUACAGAAAUCAAGUCCCCAGUUGGCAUUGGGUGAGUACAGAAAUCAAGUCCCCAGCUGGCAUUAGGUGAGUACAGAAAUCAAGUCCACAGUUGGCAUUAGGUGAGUACAGAAGUCAAGUCCCCAGUUGGUAUUAGGUGAUUACAGAAAUCAAGUCCCCAGUCGGCAUUGGGUGAGUGCAGAUAUCAAGUCCCCAGUCGGCAUUGGGUGAGUGCAGAUAUCAAGUCCACAGUUAGCAUUAGGUGAGUACAGAAAUCAAGUCCACAGUCGGCAUUGGGGAAGUGCAGAUAUCAAGUCCCCAGUUGGCAUUAGGUGAGUACAGAAAUCAAGUCCCCAGUCGGCAUUGGGGAAGUGCAGAUAUCAAGUCCACAGUCGGCAUUGGGUGAGUACAGAAAUCAAGUCCACAGUUAGCAUUAGGUGAGUACAGAAAUCAAGUCCCCAGUCGGCAUUGGCUGAGUGCAGAUAUCAAGUCCCCAGUCGGCAUUGGGUGAGUACAGAAAUCAAGUCCCCAGUCGGCAUUGGGUGGGAACGGAAAUCAAGUCCCCAGUCGGCAUUGGGUUAGUACAAAAAUCAAGUCCCCUGUCGGCAUUGGGUGAGUACAGAAAUCAAAUCCCCAGUUGGCAUUGGGUGAGUACAGAAAUCAAGUCCCCAGUCGGCAUUGGGUGAGUACAGAAAUCAAGUCCCCAGUUGGCAUUAGGUGAGUACAGAAAUCAAAUCCCCAGUCGGCAUUGGGUGGGAACGGAAAUCAAGUCCCCAGUCGGCAUUGGGUUAGUACAAAAAUCAAGUCCCCAGUCGGCAUUGGGUGAGUACAGAAAUCAAGUCCCCAGUCGGCAUUAGGUGAGUACAGAAAUCAAGUCCACAGUCGGCAUUAGGUGAGUACAGAAAUCAAGUCCACAGUCGGCAUUAGGUGAGUACAGAAAUCAAGUCCACAGUCGGCAUUGGGUUAGUACAAAAAUCAAGUCCCCAGUCGCAUUGGGUGGGAACGGAAAUCAAGUCCCCAGUUGGCAUUGGAUGAGUACAGAAAUCAAAUCCCCAGUUGGCAUUGGGUGAGCACAGAAAACAAGUCCACAGUCGGCAUUGGGUGAGUACAGAAAUCAAGUCCCCAGUUGGCAUUAGGUGAGUACAGAAAUCAAAUCCCCAGUUGGCAUUGGGUGAGCACAGAAAACAAGUCCACAGUCGGCAUUGGGUGGGUACAGAAAUCAAGUCCCCAGUCGGCAUUGGGUGAGUACAGAAAUCAAGUCCCCAGUUGGCAUUGGGUGGGUACAGAAAUCAAGUCCCCAGUCGGCAUUGGGGAAGUGCAGAUAUCAAGUCCACAGUCGGCAUUGGGUGAGUACAGAAAUCAAGUCCACAGUUAGCAUUAGGUGAGUACAGAAAUCAAGUCCCCAGUCGGCAUUGGCUGAGUGCAGGUAUCAAGUCCCCAGUCGGCAUUAGGUGAGUACAGAAAUCAAGUCCCCAGUCGGCAUUGGGUUAGUACAAAAAUCAAGUCCCCAGUCGGCAUUAGGUGAGUACAGAAAUCAAAUCCCCAGUCGGCAUUGGGUGGGAACGGAAAUCAAGUCCCCAGUCGGCAUUGGGUUAGUACAAAAAUCAAGUCCCCAGUCGGCAUUGGGUGAGUACAGAAAUCAAAUCCCCAGUCGGCAUUGGGUGAGUACAGAAAUCAAGUCCCCAGUUGGCAUUAGGUGAGUACAGAAAUCAAGUCCCCAGUCGGCAUUAGGUGAGUACAGAAAUCAAGUCCACAGUCGGCAUUGGGUGAGUACAGAAAUCAAGUCCCCAGUCGGCAUUGGGUGAGUACAGAAAUCAAGUCCCCAGUCGGCAUUAGGUGAGUACAGAAAUCAAAUCCCCAGUCGGCAUUGGGUGAGUACAGAAAUCAAGUCCCCAGUCGGCAUUAGGUGAGUACAGAAAUCAAGUCCACAGUCGGCAUUGGGUUAGUACA